rnacentral:rRNA from 1 species
CGCCUCCUGCUAUAGUUUCACAGGAGGUCUCGUUUGCACAAUGACCUGCGGGUUCAAUUGCCGCGGUACCCUGACCGUGCUAAGGUAGCGUAAUCAAUAGCCUAUUAAUUGUUGGCCCGUAUCAAUGGCACGCCGCUGGUGGCGCUGUCUCUGCUGUGUUUUAUUGAAGUUAACAUUUUGGUGAAAAGGCCAAAAUUCGACUAAAAGACGAUAAGACCCUAUCGAACUUUAGGCUUAAGCCUUAAUUCAGCCUUUGGGGUUAAAUUAAGGCUGAACCUUUGGUUGGGGAAACCGAGGACCAAAAAAAGCGUCCGUCCCCCUUACUGUUUAAACCAAAAGGUAAAUAGAUUGACUUUUUAGUGUUAAUUGGUCUGACAGGACAAUAGUGAUUGAUUAUAGAUCCGGGGCAAAAAAAUCUAUCCCCGAUUAUGGGAAAAGUUACCGUAGGGAUAACAGCGUAAUCCUCUCGGAGAGACCACAUUAAUGAGAGGGUUUGCGACCUCGAUGUUGGCUUAGGGCACCCAGGAAGUGCAGGAGCUUCCAAAGGUUGGUCUGUUCGACCAUUAACGCCCCACAU